UCCUCCCAGCCGCCCUCUCGCUCUCCCUCUCUCCUCCUCCCCGCCGCCGCCCUCUCUCUCCUGUGUCUCGUGAUGCGGCCACCGCUGAUUUCUCUCUCCUUCUCGGUUCUUGCUUGCAGGGGUUCCAGGGAGGGCGGGCAGCUGGGCAUGGGCGGGAAUGAGGAGAAGGCCCAUACGGCCCACAUCCCAGCCGCGAUCCAAAUUCUCGGUGGCUACCCUGUGCUCUCGGCGAGCUCGGACGGCCGCGGCAGCAGCGACCCGUCGGCGCCGGCGACCUACUGCCUCCGCCCCGCGGCCUCAUCUCCCUCAACUACCGCCCCUCUGCCUGAGCCCAAUCUCGCAUCGCCCCCGACCAGCUCGCUAGCCAUGGACGCCGGCGGCGGCGGCAGCGGCAGCGGCCAGCUCUUCUCCGUUGACCCCUUGGAGCGCCAGGCCGCGCGGGGCCACGGCGUCGUCACCUCCAUGGCCGCCGGCAGCGACGUCAUCGUCCUCGGCACCUCCCGCGGCUGGCUCGUCCGCCACGACUACACCUUCGAGGACGCCCACAGCAAGUCUUCCCACCCCACUUCCCCUUGGCUCCUUCCCCUUUCUCAAGGCGUCGUGUCACCUCCCUCGCUGCUUUCCUCUCCUCCUCGUGUAGAUCUCGACGGUGUAAAGAUCUACAGUUGAUGAAUGAGAAUAUGGAGGUUCUUCAAAGCCUGAAACUGGUGUCUACGGAAAAUGAGAAUAGCAACAAGGGCGAUUCAGUCCUGUUCAUAGUAUGUGAAUAAAUUGAAGCUUCAAAGUGCAGCCUUUUCUUAAGCAAGAAAUGGAGCUUUCCUUGGUAGGGCUCCAAAGUGCUGAGAAAACAUCACUUGUGAAUGCCAUUGAUGUAAGUAUCACGCAUUCUUUUGGUACCACUGAUAUACUGGAUACAUUUUCCCAUGGAUAAACAUGUAUUUUAGCGAGGAUAAGAUCCCUAAGGAUUCAAUAUGAGAAAGGUAACAAAAGGAAAUAUCACAAUAAAAUUGUGGGAUCCUGGAGGCCAGCCACAAUUUUGGCUGAGGCCUCAUUUUGGCGCAGAAAAUUUCUCAAUUGAUGUGUAAAUUGAACUGUUUCAUGUGAACUUUGAACUGAUGGUUUAUUCUUAAACUAAAUUAACUGACAGUCAUAUCCUCUCUGAAUUUUCUUUCAACUGUGGCUAUCACUCGAAGUUGACAAGGAUGCUUGAGACUGCACACUACUGUGAGCUUGUGGUGGAGAGCAGUGAAAUAGAUGAUCUGCCAUUGUUGCCUCCAAGCUUGCUAUCCCACAGCUUCACAGAAAGGUGUUUGCUGCUGCUGAGUGGGGCUUCAAGUUAUUGCAGAGGUCAUUGCUGGAGCAUGUUGCAGCAGGGGAUCACGCUAACCUUUUUACAAUUCAAGAUUCCAAUUAUGAUCCUCAUCUUUUCUGAAUAAUUGUUAUUGUAACCUGCAGAAGUUGCUUUCUCUGGAUGACGAUCAGGAAGAUUCAGAUGAUCUUUGUUUGCUGAUCUACUCAACUGAGAAUGAUCAGAAGUAGCAACCAGAUCAGAGAAGACUUGAGUUGCUAUGUUUUCCAGGAGCAGCCACUGCUACAAGGUCACUGAAAGGAUCACCAAACGGAUUUGGAGCUCCGGAGGGAGGCGCAGCGUACUGAUAUUGGUGGUGGUACAUGGUCGGUGUUGGCAUCGCCAUGAUCUGUUGCUGCUGCUGAAAAUGCUGAUGCUGCUGUGGCUGGAAAUACUGCUGUUGUGCCUGGUAGUAAUGUUGCUGCUGCUGGGUCAUCAGUGCCAACUGCACAUUAGAUGGUGGUGCGAAGCUACUGGACAUGGCAAACGGGUCACUGGCAUUGGCUUCGAAAGGGUUAGCUGCGCCAAGGCUACCAGUGUAGGUCACGCUGGCGAUCUGCUUCCUCCUCGCUUCGUCCUCGUAGAGGCUGUCGAGUAACAGCUUGUCAAAGCCUCCAGCCUGUUCAUCAGAUGCGGCUUUAUAUGUGGAUAUCUGAAAAGCAGGUUAUGGAGUAAGGAUUGCACAUACCAAGUUAGUCUUAACUGGUUGGCUUGUAUGGGUGCUUGGAGCAGUGACCAGUGCCAACUCCCACCCAGAUGAAUUGACGUCGAACAGAUUUUGAGAUGCUGACCCCUUGUUUUGGUCAUCUACAUGCAAGACCAGAGCAACUGAUGACAUUUCCUUCUCAUUGCAUCACUUAAUAUCAUCUGGACAGUUUGGUAUUCAACGUUUCAACAAUAGCACUUGUAAAAUUGUGAUAUAUAUACCUGGAGCUACAAUUGCAAGUGCCAAUGCAUUGCUUUCUUCCA